UACUAUGGGUGUGCUGAGAAUUCAGUGCUCA
rnacentral:piRNA from 1 species